rnacentral:rRNA from 1 species
AAUAGAUACCCCGGUAGUCCACGCCGUAAACGAUGAGUGCUAGGUGUUGGUGGGGACACCCAUCAGUGCCGCAGCUAACGCAUUAAGCACUCCGCCUGGGGAGUACGGUCGCAAGACUGAAACUCAAAGGAAUUGACGGGGACCCGCACAAGCAGCGGAGCAUGUGGUUUAAUUCGACGCAACGCGAAGAACCUUACCAGGGCUUGACAUCCCUCUGACAGGUCUAGAGAUAGGCCCUUCUCUUCGGAGACAGAGGAGACAGGUGGUGCAUGGUUGUCGUCAGCUCGUGUCGUGAGAUGUUGGGUUAAGUCCCGCAACGAGCGCAACCCUUGCCUUUAGUUGCCAUCAGGUAAAGCUGGGCACUCUAGAGGGACUGCCGGUGACAAACCGGAGGAAGGUGGGGAUGACGUCAAAUCAUCAUGCCCCUUAUGUCCUGGGCUACACACGUGCUACAAUGGUCGGUACAACGGGAAGCGAAACUGCGAAGUUGAGCAAAUCCCAAUAAGCCGAUCCCAGUUCGGAUUGUAGG